ensembl:lncRNA
CGCCGCGGGUAGCGGGGCCUCCGCUCCACCCGAGCACCGCGCGGAGAGCCGAGGCGCGUCUGCUCCGCUACCACAGCUCCUCCCCUGGUUUCAGGAUGAAAAGGCAAACUGACUUCUUGAAAGCUUGCAUCUCCAGCCGGUGUGGAAAAUCUUCCCGGUGGUGGAAAUAUAGACAAGAUUACGAUGUAAGAGUGUUCUGGGACUACCUCGUCAAUAUCAGCUAUUCAGAAAGCGCCAAAGAUUAAACUAUUGCUCUAGUUUAAUCCUAGUCCUGGCAGGCUAGGAGAGCCAGAUGAGCACAUCCAAGGUCCCCACCACUCCUUCAUAAAUCUGUGAUCUACAGGAGAGGAAGGGCCUUGUACUCCAAAAUGAACAAACAUGGAAAGACUGAAAGGUAAAAAUGGACAAUCUUCACUUAAAGCCAAAAGAGGCAGCCAUCUGAAGACAAGAGGAGUGAAUGUUUUUAUUCUGAGGAACCAGUGGGAUGAAGUGGCUGAAUCGAGAAGCAUUUGGUUUCUCCUAUGGUCAAAUGGCUAAGUAACAGCAGUGGAGUGCAAAUUCAGCCUCCAGUGUCCUCAACAUUGUGAAACUCCAAGUCACGGCUCCCCCUGAGAAAUGCGUUAUUUUCCUCUAGGCCUCUCCAGUCAUUGGCUCAGUUCAGGCCUUCCUGUCUGACAUGACACCCAAGCCAUUUGGCUCAUUUCCAGCCUUGCAAAAAAUAUCCUCUCUGCUAAGCCCCAGAGUUUACAUUCAAACCAGAAAAGAAGGGAAAAAAGAGGGAGAAGGGCCAACUUCUUUGAUCUUCUAGCAGAAAACAAAAGACUACUGAUGUGAUUAUGUACAGG